UAUACGUUGAAUGGAUAGAUCUGAGAGGCUAACGGGCCAACCUUUCCACUGAAAAUGUAUCUAAGUAUCUAGAAUUGGGACCAGGGCCCAACGUUGAAUUCAAAUUAAAUAUUCCUAUCUUUCUCAAUUAGGGAAAUUCAUAUCACUGGUGCAUCCUCAUCAAGGUCCAACUCAGAGGCCAAGUUCUUCAAGCAGAGCUUCCUGAUUAUCCUAAGCAAAAUUAAUGUGUAUUGAACUACCCAACAGGAUUACAUCCUCUAGCAAAUCAGAAACUGAAUUCUGGUUUGGUGGCCUUACCCUGAGAGCACCUGCAAUAAUGCUUCACACCUACUGUGCAUCUGAAAGGAUUUCUGUGGUGCUUUUAUAACACACUGAUGCAUAGCAUGGAGAGAGGGACCACCAGAGUACUGGAUAUACUCCUGCCAAAAACCAACAAGCCAUGGGCCACACAGCACAACAGAAGAGGAAAUUUUGAGAUCCCACAAUGCAGCAAUGCGUGUCCUUACCUGCAAGAAAGAAUAAGGAGUCCACUUGGAAAGUUACUUUGUAGUCUUCGUCCUCCUCAAUGCAGCACCUGAAGUGACGGGAACCUUUGCAUGGA